ACUCCACGUUUCUCUACAAACCCUAACCCUAACCUUCGUUUCAUCCACCGCUCCUCCACCGCUCCUCCACGACUCCUCCAUCGUUGACGACAUCAGAUCCGACACCAGAUCCGACACAACAUCGAUUUCUAUGGCUUCUUUCCCGGUGGCUUCAAGAUCCAACACUAUCUCAAGAGAUCCGACACUAUUUCAGUAGAUCCGACACCAGAUCUACUGGUUUGACUGUAGGAUCUUCCUUUUGGUUGUGGGUUCGUCAACGAUGGUGCUUGUGGGUGGAAGAUCUGGCAAGAUCUAUGGGUUAUUUGUAGUAGAUCUGUUCUUUGUUUAUGCCAGUAAAAACAGGCAAGAGUUGACCGGUCGAGCCACUUACAUACUCAAUAAAAAGGCACUUGUGCUAAGAUUCAUCUUUGAGGCGAAUGGAGGACGAUUCAAAAGAAAAAAAAACAAAGAAACGUACCAGAGCGUACCACAAUUUAGGUAGCGUUGGAUUCUACGUCUCUACUAAAACCACUUUUUUGGCGAAACAAUUAGGUAAAUAUAAGGAUGCAUUUGCAGAAUAUACAGCAAGAACUGCAUUUGAGAGACCGUUAUUAAGCGGGGUAGCGUAUGCACCGAGGAUACUGACUUCCGAACGAGAAGACUUCGAAAGUCAACACGGUGGGACUAUAAGAACAAUGGCCAACAAGGAGCCGUCCCCUCACCGCGAUGAAUAAGCACCAAUGAUAUUCUCUCAAGAAACCGUUUCUUACCUCAAUUUGCUAGAUACGAUGUCAG